GUUCCUGUUUCACUGGACAUUGUACUGAACUGCCGUUUCCUAGAGAAACUACUUAUUCGUAUAUCGUAUGAAGUUGAGGAAGUCACAUGAUGCCAAUCAUUGACUUAAGAAUAAAUUUUCCAGGCAUACGC